UGGGGAAUUGUUCGCAAUGGGCGCAAGCCUGACGACGCAACGCCGCGUGGAGGAUGAAGAUCUUCGGGUUGUAAACUCCUGUCGAGCGGGACGAACACCCUCCGAAUGAAUAGUUCGGGGGGCUGACGGUACCGCGAGAGGAAGCCCCGGCUAACUCCGUGCCAGCAGCCGCGGUAAUACGGGGGGGGCAAGCGUUGUUCGGAAUUACUGGGCGUAAAGGGCUCGUAGGCGGCCAACUAAGUCAGACGUGAAAUCCCUCGGCUUAACCGGGGAACUGCGUCUGAUACUGGAUGGCUUGAAUCCGGGAGAGGGAUGCGGAAUUCCAGGUGUAGCGGUGAAAUGCGUAGAUAUCUGGAGGAACACCGGUGGCGAAGGCGGCAUCCUGGACCGGUAUUGACGCUGAGUGAGCGAAAGCCAGGGGAGCAAACGGGAUUAGAUACCCCGGUAGUCCUGGCCCUAAACGAUGAAUGCUUGGUGUGGUGGGUAUCGAUCCCUGCCGUGCCGAAGCUAACGC
rnacentral:rRNA from 1 species